GGCUGAUCUGAGUACAGUGGUGUUUACAACUAACUGAUCACAACCAAUUAUGAAUUUCUUUGUUCCUUUUCCACUCACACUGCUUCACUUGACUAGCUUUAA
ensembl:misc_RNA Y_RNA Y RNA